UGGGGAAUUUUGCACAAUGGGGGAAACCCUGAUGCAGCGACGCCGCGUGAUUUAGAAGGCCUUCGGGUUGUAAAAAUCUUUUCUAUGGGAAGAAAAUGACAGUACCAUAGGAAUAAGGACCGGCUAAUUACGUGCCAGCAGCCGCGGUAAUACGUAAGGUCCGAGCGUUGUCCGGAAACAUUGGGCGUAAAGGGUACGUAGGCGGGUAAGCAAGUUAGAAGUGAAAUCCUAUAGCUCAACUAUAGUAAGCUUUUAAAACUGCUCAUCUUGAGGUAUGGAAGGGAAAGUGGAAUUCCUAGUGUAGCGGUGAAAUGCGCAGAUAUUAGGAGGAAUACCGGUGGCGAAGGCGACUUUCUGGCCAUAACCUGACGCUGAGGUACGAAAGCGUGGGUAGCAAACAGG
rnacentral:rRNA from 1 species